ensembl:lncRNA
CCGCCCCAAAAAUAUACCCAAAAACAGUUAAAAAAUAUACCCAAAAACACUCCAAAAAUAUACCCAAAAAACACCCCCAAAACCCACAAAAAACACCCCAAAAACACCCAAAGAAACCCCAAAAUAUCCCAAAAAACACCCCAGAAAAACCAAAAACCAAAAAAACACCACCCCAAAAUCCCCCAAAAUCCUCAAAAAAAAACAGCCAAAAAACCAUCCCAGUGCUCCCAGUCCCUCCCAGUGCUCCCAGUCCAUCCCAGUGCUCCCAGUCCGUCCCAGUGCUCCCAGUCCAUCCCAGUGCUCCCAGUCCGUCCCAGUGCUCCCAGUCCCUCCCAGUGCUCCCAGUCCCUCCCAGUGCUCCCAGUCCGUCCCAGUGCUCCCAGUCCAUCCCAGUCCUCCCAGUCCCUCCCAGUGCUCCCAGUUACCAACGACGCGCAGGCGCAUCUCGGCCGUGUCCUCCAUGCCCUCGAUGCCAACAGAGCCUGGCAUUCCCAGUGCUCCCAGUGCUCCCAGUUCCCAAUCCCAGUGCUCCCAGUUCCCAAUCCCAGUGCCCAGCCCUGUUCCCUUCACACCAUUCCCAUGUUUCCCAUCCCACCCAGUCACUCCCAGUCCGUCCCAGUGCUCCCAGUUCCCAAUUCCAGUGCCCAGCCCAGUUCCCUUCACACCAUUCCCAUGUUUCCCAUGUCUCCCAUCACUCCCAGUCUCUCCCAGUGCUCCCAGUCCGUCCCAGUGCUCCCAGUGCUCCCAGUCCCCAAUCCCAGUGCCCAGCCCUGUUCCCCUCACACCAUUCCCAUGUUUCCCAUCCCUCCCAGUCCCUCCCAGUUCCCAAUCCCAGUGCUCCCAGUUCCCAAUCCCAAUGCCCAGUCCCAGUUCACCCAGUUCCCCCAGUUGCCGUCCCAUCACUCCCAGUGCUCCCAGUCCUCAAUCCCAGUGCCCAGCCCUGUUCCCUUCUCACCAUUCCCAUGUCUCCCAGUCCCUCCCAGUCCCUCCCAGUGCUCCCAGUCCCCAACCCCAGUGCCCAGCCCUGUUCCCCUCACACCAUUCCCAUGUUUCCCAUCCCUCCCAGUCCCUCCCAGUGCUCCCAGUUACCGACGACGCGCAGGCGCAUCUCGGCCGUGUCCUCCAUGCCCUCGAUGCCAACAGAGGCUGGCAUUCCCAGUGCUCCCAGUGCUCCCAGUUCCCAAUUCCAGUGCCCAGCCCUGUUCCCCUCACACCAUUCCCAUGUUUCCCAUGACUCCCAUCACUCCCAGUCCAUCCCAGUGCUCCCAGUUCCCAAUCCCAAUGCCCAGUCCCAGUUCACCCAGUUCAUCCAGUUGCCAUCCCAUCACUCCCAGUCCUCCCAGUCCAUCCCAGUGCUCCCAGUUCCCAAUCCCAAUGCCCAGUCCCAGUUCACCCAGUUCAUCCAGUUGCCGUCCCAUCACUCCCAGUGCUCCCAGUUCCCAAUCCCAGUGCUCCCAGUUCCCAACCCCAAUGCCCAGAACCAGUUCCCCCAGUUGCCGUCCCAUCACUCCCAGUCCGUCCCACCACUCCCAGUGCUCCCAGUCCCCAACCCCAGUGCCCAGCCCUGUUCCCUUCACACCAUUCCCAUGUCUCCCAGUCCCUCCCAGUCUCUCCCAGUGCUCCCAGUUCCCAAUCCCAAUGCCCAGACCCAGUUCCCCCAGUUGCCGUCCCAUCACUCCCAGUCCCUCCCAGUCCAUCCCAGUGCUCCCAGUCCCCAAUCCCAGUGCCCAGCCCUGUUCCCCUCACACCAUUCCCAUGCUUCCCAUCCCUCCCAGUGCUCCCAGUUACCGACGACGCGCAGGCGCAUCUCGGCCGUGUCCUCCAUGCCCUCGAUGCCAACAGAGCCUGGCAUUCCCAGUCCAUCCCAGUGCUCCCAGUGCUCCCAGUCCCCAACCCCAGUGCCCAUCCCUGUUCCCCUCACACCAUUCCCAUGUUUCCCAUCACUCCCAGUCCCUCCCAGUCCCUCCCAGUGCUCCCAGUUACCGACGACGCGCAGGCGCAUCUCGGCCGUGUCCUCCAUGCCCUCGAUGCGCACGCUGAGCCCGUAGCGCCCCGAGUGCCCCCUGGCGGCGGCGCGGAUGAAGAACACCGUGUCGCGGUCCGACGUGCGCACGUGCACGUCCUCGCCCAGGGGCCCGCCCUCCUUCGUCCACGUGACCUGGGGGCGGGGCUUACCCUGCCGGGGGGCGGGGCUUGGUCAGACCCCAUGGGGGGGGGUGGGGAUGGGGGGUCCCUAUGGGGCUGUGGGGUCCCUAUGGGGCUGUGGGGCUGUGGGGUCCCUAUGGGGCUGUGGGGCUGUGGGGUCCCUAUGGGGCUGGGGUGUCCC